GAGGGCAUAGCUCAAAUAAUAGGGCACAUGCUCAGCAUGCACGAGGUCCUGGGUUCAAUCCCUAGUAUCUUCA
rnacentral:tRNA from 1 species